rnacentral:lncRNA from 1 species
UAAGAUAUUUCUCUUAAGUGAGAGAAUCAACCAAACAAGAAUUCAAAGUCCUAAGUGACCUUUUAUUUAUAUAGUUUAUUUAUAUAAAUAUCGUAAAGUAGAUCAGUAUUGUAGACACUAACAAUACUUUUAUUAGAUCAUAUGUGUAAGAACUUAGAUUAAAGUUCAAAAAUAUUAAGUUUGAUCUGAGCUGAAUGAUUAUUGUAGACACUCGAAAUUUUCUACACACCUGUUACUAACAUUGCAGAAGGGCAGAUUCGUUUUUCGGAGAUAACCUUGGAAGACAGCUUACAUCCAUUCCGGAUACUACCGGAAGUUCAGUCUCAACCCCGGAACACACACCGGGAGUAUCAAUUCCAACCUUGGAGAUAACCCCGAGUUUCGUCCUUAGAGAUAACCCCAAGGAAUGCUGUUGCAGUUCCGGCGAUAAUUUUGAAAAUGCUUGUUUCAAAUGCAUGCGAUCAACUUCAAUCUCAGACCUCCUACCGAGGCACUCAUUCCAAAGACCCGGAGAUAACACCGGGAAGAAAAGAACACUUACAGAUGAUCUUGGGGAAUUCAACCCUGAGCAACGUCUGCUAUCAGCCCAAACCGGAGAUAACCCCGGUGAGGAGUCAAAUAGUCAUCUUGCCACCUCAACCCCUGCGCGCCAUCUCAACAUUUCAUACAUACAUUUCUACACAACAAUGUCCCACAUGGGCCAAGGAGUUCCAAUCCCGAGUGACUAUUACGCGUGGCAGCACACCAGAUAGAAUUUGAAGCUUGAAGACCAUGGGCAUGGUCCCCUCUUCCUGACUUCGUACAACCUCUAAUCCCAUGUCAUUGUGUAACUCUCGACAAAAGCGGACCAAAGAAGGUCUUGUACACCUCGUUCGGAUGCUCGGAUUGAAGUUCUGCAAGUUCGAGCGGACAUCACAAUGCACGAGUGCACGUACUUCGAGAUGACAAGGCCCGUGGAGCCCGGGGCACCCCGGACAGCCGCAGGUUCAUCUAUGGCUACCGUAGGUACACCUGCGGCUCUCAGCUCUAUAAAUAUAGAGCUUGGGGUGACCAUUUUUUUUAAAAAAAGAGGCGAGAAAACCCUGUCUAAUUUGCUCUGUACACACCCCAUAUUGAGUGCUUUCUCAUUUUAAACACUUGUUAGCUCAUAUAUAGCUAUAUUUUAUCGGCGGGAGCUGAGUGUUUAUCCAUAUAGUCAUAGAAAC